GCUCUUAUAGCUUAAUGGUAAAGCAAAAUACUGUUAAUAUUUUGAUAGAUGUUCAAUUCAUCUUAAGGGCU
rnacentral:tRNA from 1 species